CACAUCAGCGCGCUUUGCUUAUGUGGACACAAAUCGCACCUACGAGGAUGCGGUUUUCUGACACGUCCCCAGACAUCGCGCUGACGUGG
ncrna:Gossypium raimondii miR7486j stem-loop (gra-MIR7486j)